GCUCAACUCGUGACCUUUUCCCAGUUGCGAAGAAUUGAAGCUCGGUUUUGAUUUCGAAUAGCCAUGUCAGCUCCAUUGACACCUUCCAAGCGACCUCACGACGACGACGACGACGACGCUUCGGAGCCGAAUGAGAAAGCGAAGAUCCUCAAGUCUGCGGAUUAUGAUGACGAUCAACAUGUAUUUCGGGUACUGUGCCCCGAGUCCAAACUCGGCUGUCUCACUACUGAUGGCGACAAAAUACAUGAGGAGACUCUGGUGAGGGUGAGAGUUGAGGAAGCUGUACCCGGCUGCGACGAAAGAGUUGUUGUUAUUGGCAGUGAGGAGAGUGAUCCUCCUGGGGCGGCGGCUGUUAAGAAGGCUUUGCAACUUGUGUUUGAGAGAAUGGUGGAAGAAGGGAGUCAAGGAGGAGCGGAGGGAGACGGCAACAAGGCUGUGGCAAUUGUGUUCAGGUUGUUAGUUCUGUCGAAUCAGAUAGGCUGCAUUUUGGGGAUUGGUGGCAGUGUGAUCAAGCAGAUGGCGUCCGAGAGUGGUGCGCAAAUUCGGAUUGUUCCUAGAGAUAAACUUCCAUUGUGUGCACCAGCUGCCUAUGAAUUAGUUCAGAUCACUGGUGAGGUUGAUGCUGUCAGGAAAGCUCUAGAUUCUGUUAGUCAGCAGCUUUUGGAAAAUCUGCCUCGUGCUAGUGCUUCUUCCCUUCUCAACUCCACAGGGCCGUCAUCUCAACCCUCUCCAAGACCAGAAGUAACUCUGCCACCAGAGCAGUCUCAAGAAAAGCCCUAUAGGGAUCAGGCUGCUGAAGUUGGGGAUAACCAUUCAGCUGGUCAUCCACGGAUUCCAAAGAUUCAUGGUUCUGGCGUCCCUGGUGGGAUGAACUCUUCACAAGAAGUCCUAAAUUUCCGCUUAUUGUGCCACCAAGAGAGAGUAGGAGGUGUAAUUGGAAAGGGCGGAACGAUUAUCAGGAUCCUUAAACAAGAAACAGGCUGUGAAAUCAAGGUUAUGGAUGCUGUCUCCGAUUCGGAGGAUCGUGUUAUCAUUGUAUCUGGUCCUGCGCACCCAGAUGAUAGGAUAUCAGCUCUGCAAGAUGCCGUCCUUCGUGUGCAUGAUAGGAUAGCCAGGGCAGUACCUAUUACCAAGGAACAGCCCAUAGCAGCGAGGCUUCUUAUUUCCUCCAAUCAAACUGGUUGUCUCCUUGGCAAGGGUGGUGCCAUCAUAGCUGAAAUGAGAAAGUCAUCUCGUGCUUAUAUACGUUUGUUGCCAAAGGAUCAGAUCCCCAAAUGUGUUUCAGAUGAUGAUGAAGUUAUUCAGAUGAAUGGAGAACUUGAAGCAGUGAACGAUGCUCUUCUGCAGAUCACCAGUAGGCUGCAGCAUCAUUUCUUUCGCGAGGCAUUUUCUUCUUUAAGUUAUCCUCCAAAUCCUGCAUUUACAGAUCAACUUCCUUUUCGACCAUUUUUGAGGAGGGACUUUUCACCUCCAAGAAUGCAUUCUAACUUCGGCCCAUCAUUUGGUGGUCUGGCAUCACAUGGUGGUUUCCAUCCUCUUCAUUUAUCAGAGAGAAGACCUUGGGCUUCUCAGGGACUUCUGGAGGGUGGUGGUCCAAUGGGUUUGCCAAACUUUACUGGAGGUCCACAUAGAAGGAUUCCUGGGUUUGGAGGAAGCCAACCAGCAAUAAUUACCAGUACCACUAUUGAAGCUGUUGUUCCUAGUUCCCUUAUUCCGAUAAUAAAUGGAGAAGAUGGUGAAUGCUUGAAACAAAUCCGUCAGAUUUCGGAUGCAAAAAUUACAAUUACUGAGCCUUUACCUGGAGCAAAGGAAACUUUGAUUAUUAUAUCAGGAACACCAGAACAAACUCAUGCUGCGCAGAGUCUUAUUCAAGCAUUUGUGAUGAGUGAAACAGAUUCUUCAUGACUGAGGGACAUUUACAAUCCUCAGCUGAAGAUUCUAAAGUUGAGCUCCCCAGAAUUUUAAUAUAACCAUGUGAGUUCCUUUAGAUUUAAAACCUGACCAGAAGGUUUUCUUGUAUUCAUUAAUUGAUGCAACAGUUGGCCAUUAGAUGUGUAAUUUUAUGAGGGAUCCUUUUGAUGGCCAAGACACUUGAUGAAGAGACUGCGUCCUUGUCAAGUAUUGGAUCUUGAGGGUUGUAGCAAAAGAACUUGAUGUCAGGUUCAUUACCCAGUUUCAUUCAUUCCAUCCCGUCAAGACAGUUGAAUUAUAACCUUUUAUGAUAUUUCCAACAGACAAGAAGCCGAUCGAUUAUUUUGGGUGAUUGUGUUACAAAAUUUCUAUGUACGCAUUCAACCGUCAUCUGAAUGACAAUGUUUUAUGUUCAUGUCACGGCAAAUGCAAUACCCUUGGUGAUGAGUAUUGAAUAUGAUGGGAAAGAAACAUGGUGAUAUUUGUUCAUAACAUCAAUUACAAGCAAGCUUGGUCAAGUGUUUCAACCAUUCUUCCCUCACUCUAUACAUCUCAGGCUUCGUUGCUUGGUGCAUUCUCCUUCGUUAGCUCCUUUGUGGUGUGAUCACUAUUGAUGACAGAUUGAUGUGAUUCCUUCCCGGAAUGAGAUAUCUUUUCUGAUCAAAAUGGAGACGAAGAUGUUUAUGGCAGUUCAGUUAUCACCAAGGCAGAAAAUGGUGAAGAUAAAGAGAGGAUCGGCUGAAGCAAGCGUAUGCGAAUGAGAGAAAUGGGAAGGUAAAAACAUCAGCUCCCCUCUUCUUGUCCCUCCCCCCUCGAGAUGUUUCUAAACCUAGCCGGGCUACCACUAUCUUCAAUUAUUUUCGAUCUGUUCCACCUUCCUUUUUUCAUAUACCCCAACCUCCACUCCUCACAAGUCACAGACCACUUCUCUUUGGACUCCAGCAUCCAUGGCUGUCAGAAUCAACGUAGCUCCCUUGCACGUUGCCCGUCAUCUCUAUCCGACUAUCUGUUGCUUAAUAUCUUCAGCUGACGUUUGAUGACAGCGAAAUUCGAUGCAAGCUCGUUUCAUCUUUUCCCUGUGGAGAUCGUAGUCAUCUAAUUGGC